GGAAAGCAAUGCUCUCUACAGCGUGUCUGUAUCGCUGCAAGAGCAUGAACAGCAGCCAUCGUCUUGCUUCGUCCAAUUGGUCUCUGCAAAAACAUCCAGCGAUAAAUUUUAAAUUGUGCCAAA